rnacentral:rRNA from 1 species
ACGCUGGCGGCACGCCUAACACAUGCAAGUCGAACGAAGUAGCAAUACUUAGUGGCAGACGGGUGAGUAACAUGUGGGUAUCUGCCCUUUGGCCUGGAAUAACACGAGGAAACUUGUGCUAAUACCGGAUAAGUCUUUACGGAGAAAGCUUUAUGCACCAUUGGAUGAGCCCGCACUUGAUUAGUUUGUUGGUGGGGUAAUGGCCUACCAAGACUGUGAUCAAUAGCUGAUUUGAGAGGAUGAUCAGCCACAUUGGGACUGAGACACGGCCCAAACUCCUACGGGAGGCAGCAGUGGGGAAUCUUGCACAAUGGAGGAAACUCUGAUGCAGCGAUGCCGCGUGAGUGAAGAAGGCCCUUGGGUUGUAAAGCUCUUUCGUCGGGGAAGAAAAUGACUGUACCCGAAUAAGAAGGUCCGGCUAACUUCGUGCCAGCAGCCGCGGUAAUACGAAGGGACCUAGCGUAGUUCGGAAUUACUGGGCUUAAAGAGUUCGUAGGUGGUUGAAAAAGUUAGUGGUGAAAUCCCAGAGCUUAACUCUGGAACUGCCAUUAAAACUUUUCAGCUAGAGUAUGAUAGAGGAAAGCAGAAUUUCUAGUGUAGAGGUGAAAUUCGUAGAUAUUGGAAAGAAUACCAAUUGCGAAGGCAGCUUUCUGGAUCAUUACUGACACUGAGGAACGAAAGCAUGGGUAGCGAAGAGGAUUAGAUACCCUCGUAGUCCAUGCCGUAAACGAUGUGUGUUAGACGUUGGAAAUU